rnacentral:rRNA from 1 species
GACGAACCGUGCGAACGUUGUUCGGAAUCACUGGGCUUAAAGGGCGCGUAGGCGGGCUGUCAAGUCUGGGGUGAAAUCCCGCGGCUCAACCGUGGAACUGCCUCAGAUACUGACGGCCUCGAGGGAGAUAGGGGCGAGCGGAACUGAUGGUGGAGCGGUGAAAUGCGUUGAUAGUCAUCAGGAACUCCGGUGGCGAAGGCGGCUCGCUGGGUCUCUUGACUGACGCUGAUGCGCGAAAGCCAGGGGAGCAAAGCGGGAUUCAGAG